rnacentral:rRNA from 1 species
AGAGUUUGAUCCUAGCUCAGGAUGAACGCUGGCGGCGUGGAUAAGGCAUGCAAGUCGAACGGACCUUGCCAUAUGAAGAACCAAAACGAGUAGCAAUACAAAGUGAGGUUUCGAUUAUGGCGCUGGUUAGUGGCAGACGAGGUAGUAAUACAUAGGUAUGUACUCUUAAGUCGUGAAUAACGUACCGAAAGGUCCGCUAAUACGCGAUGGUCCCUCCGGGGUAAAGAUUUAUCGCUUAAGAAACAGCCUAUGAAGUAUCAGCUAGAUGGUGAGGUAACGGCUCACCAUGGCUAUGACGCUUAGAGGAGCUGAGAGGCUGACCCUCACCGAUGGGACUGAGACACGGCCCAUACACCUACGGGUGGCUGCAGUCAAGAACCUUCCACAAUGGACGAAAGUCUGAUGGAGCGACGCCGCGUGAUUGAUGAAGCGAUUCGUCGUGUAAAGAUCUUUUAUGAGGGAUGAAGUUUAUUGACAGUACCUCAUGAAUAAGGGGCUCCUAACUCUGUGCCAGCAGGAGCGGUAAUACAGAGGCCCCGAGCGUUAUCCGGAAUUAUUGGGCGUAAAGGGUGUGUAGGUGGCGUUGUUAGUCGUUUGUGAAAGAUCCGGGCUCAACCUGGAAAACGCGAACGAAACGGCAAUGCUUGAGUGAGGAAGAGGUAAGCAGAACUCAUGGUGUAGGGGUGAAAUCCGUUGAUAUCAUGGGGAAUACCAAAAGCGAAGGCAGCUUACUGGUCCUUUACUGACACUGAAACACGAAAGCGUGGGUAGCGAAUGGGAUUAGAUACCCCAGUAGUCCACGCCCUAAACGAUCUUCACUAGCUUUUCGGAGUAUCGACCCUCUGAGAGGCGAAGCUAACGCGUUAAGUGAAGCGCCUGGGAAGUACGGCCGCAAGGCUAAAACUCAAAGGAAUAGACGGGGACUCGCACAAGCGGUGGAUUAUGUGGUUUAAUUCGUAGGUAAACGAAGAACCUUACCCAGAUUAGAAAUUCUGACGAAAGUCCUGUGAAAGCAGGACCCUCGCAAGACGGCAGAACAGGUGAUGCAUGGCCGUCGUCAGCUCGUGGUUUGAACUGUUCCCUUAAGUGGGCUAACGAGCGCAACCCUCGUCGUCUGUUACAAGUGUCAGGCGAGACCGCCCAGCACAAAGCAUAUGAAUUUAAAAAAUUCAUUCGUAUGUUUCGUGCUGGGAGGAAGGAGAGGAUGACGCCAGGUCAGCAUGACCCUUUGAUGACAUGGGCCACACACAUAAUACAAUGGUUACUACAGUGGGUCGCGACGCAGUGAUGUUGAGCCAAUCCUCAAAGGUAGCCCUAGUUCGGAUAAAAGUCUGCAACUCGACUUUUUGAAGCUGGAAUCGCUAGUAAUCGCAGGUCAGCCAAACUGCGGUGAAUACGUUCUCGAGUCUUGUACUCACCGCCCGUCAAUUCAAGGGAGCCGGUAGUACCCGAAGGCUCUGCAUAAGCAGGGACUACGGUAAGAUCGGUGACAGGGAAUAAGUCGUAACAAGGCACGGCUAGCGGAAGCUGGUCGUG